rnacentral:lncRNA from 1 species
GCGGAUGGCGCAGCACCGCGGGGAGGGACAUGGCGCGAGCCGGCCGCCAGCGCAGUGGGAGAGGAGUACAGCGCGAGCGCUCCAGCCGAGGAGCAGCCUGGAUCUGGGCAGGGAGGAGGAAGACGCAACGGCCGGCGGGUAGCGCGGCGUGGCCGGCCGGCGACGGGCGGGGAAGCAGCUGGUUAGUAUCCUCGCGCACCAGUGCAGCCGCCCUCCAGCUGCUGCGCGGCCAUGGCCUGUU